UACGUAGGGGGCAAGCGUUGUCCGGAAUCAUUGGGCGUAAAGCGCGUGUAGGCGGUCCGGUAAGUCCGCUGUGAAAGUCGGGGGCUCAACCCUCGAAAGCCGGUGGAUACUGUCGGACUAGAGUGCGGAAGAGGCGAGUGGAAUUCCUGGUGUAGCGGUGAAAUGCGCAGAUAUCAGGAGGAACACCAAUUGCGAAGGCAGCUCGCUGGGACGUUACUGACGCUGAGACGCGAAAGCGUGGGGAGCAAACAGG
rnacentral:rRNA from 1 species